rnacentral:rRNA from 1 species
UACGUAGGGGGCGAGCGUUGUCCGGAUUCAUUGGGCGUAAAGAGCUCGUAGGCGGUUCAGUAAGUCGGGUGUGAAAUCUCCGUGCUCAACACGGAGCGGCCACCUGAUACUGCUGUGACUCGAGUCCGGUAGGGAGUGUGGAAUUCCCGGUGUAGCGGUGAAAUGCGCAGAUAUCGGGAGGAACACCAGUAGCGAAGGCGGCACUCUGGGCCGUGACUGACGCUGAGGAGCGAAAGCGUGGGGAGCGAACAGGAUUAGACUAC